AUUGAACGCUGGCGGCAUGCCUUACACAUGCAAGUCGAACGGCAGCACGGGUGCUUGCACCUGGUGGCGAGUGGCGAACGGGUGAGUAAUACAUCGGAACAUGUCCUGUAGUGGGGGAUAGCCCGGCGAAAGCCGGAUUAAUACCGCAUACGAUCUACGGAUGAAAGCGGGGGACCUUCGGGCCUCGCGCUAUAGGGUUGGCCGAUGGCUGAUUAGCUAGUUGGUGGGGUAAAGGCCUACCAAGGCGACGAUCAGUAGCUGGUCUGAGAGGACGACCAGCCACACUGGGACUGAGACACGGCCCAGACUCCUACGGUAGGCAGCAGUGGGGAAUUUUGGACAAUGGGCGAAAGCCUGAUCCAGCAAUGCCGCGUGUGUGAAGAAGGCCUUCGGGUUGUAAAGCACUUUUGUCCGGAAAGAAAUCCUUGGCUCUAAUACGGUCGGGGGAUGACGGUACCGGAAGAAUAAGCACCGGCUAACUACGUG
rnacentral:rRNA from 1 species